AGCAGCCGCGGUAAUUCCAGCUCCAAUAGCGUAUAUUAAAGUUGUUGCAGUUAAAAGCUCGUAGUUGAAUUUCGGGAUUAGUACGCUGGUCGUGCCUUUGGUAUGUACUGGUGUUACUGAUUCCUACCUUCUGACGAACUGUCAUGUCAUUUAUUUGGUGUGGCGGGGAAUCAGGACUGUUACUUUAGAAAAAUUAGAGUGUUUAAAGCAGGCUCGCGCUUGAAUACAUUAGCAUGGAAUAAUGAAAUAGGACGUUCGAUCCUAUUUUGUUGGUUUCUAGGAUUGACGUAAUGAUUAAUAGGGGUAGUUGGGGGCAUUAGUAUUCAAUUGUCAGAGGUGAAAUUCUUGGAUUUAUUGAAGACUAACUACUGCGAAAGCAUUUGCCAAGGAUGUUUUCAUUAAUCAAAGAACGAAAGUUAGGGGAUCGAAGACGAUC
rnacentral:rRNA from 1 species